UACGUAGGGUGCGAGCGUUAAUCGGAAUUACUGGGCGUAAAGCGUGCGCAGGCGGUUUGUUAAGACAGACGUGAAAUCCCCGGGCUUAACCUGGGAACUGCAUUUGUGACUGGCAAGCUAGAGUAUGGCAGAGGGGGGUAGAAUUCCACGUGUAGCAGUGAAAUGCGUAGAGAUGUGGAGGAAUACCGAUGGCGAAGGCAGCCCCCUGGGCCAAUACUGACGCUCAUGCACGAAAGCGUGGGGAGCAAACAGG
rnacentral:rRNA from 1 species